AUGAGAUGCUAUUUCCUGUGGUGGAUUCUUGUUUUUGGCCGAGACACAGCUGCAGCACCUCUUGGCGCAGGUGUUUGGCAGGAAAGGCGCCGUCCCCAGGCGGGACAGGUAGACCAGGGGCUGGGUGGUGCUGCUGAUGUUGAGGAAGGCGAAGCCCGCGGGCUGCACGUAGCAGCGGAACGCGUCGGGGGAGUAGUGGUCCUGGAAGGGGAACAGCGCCACCGGCGGCAGGUAGUUGAACACGACGAUGCAGAGGACGGAGGAGACCACCUUGAAGGCCUUCUUCUUCAUGGGGUGCAUCUCGUCUCUGCCCGAGGAGCCGGGGGUCCUCCUCAGGGCCCACAGGAUGCUGCCGUUGCACACCACCAUCCACGCGAACGUGGCCAGGACCUCGCCCGUGAACACCCUCUCGAAGCCGGGGAGGCCCCCCGCCGCUUUGGCUGCCGAGUAGGCGAGCGUGAGGCACAGCACCAGCGCCGCCAGGCCGACCCGGUACGCCGCCCGCCUGCACCGGCCGAAGGCGACGGGGAAGAGCACGGCCACGAAGCGGUCCAGGCAGAUGCAGGAGAGGAAGAGCGGGCCGCUGGUGUCUUUGACGCCGUAGGAGAACUUCACGGCCGACCACACCUCCCUGCUCCGCCAGUAGUAGAGGUUCAGCAGGUUGACGGGGGUCAUGGCGCCGAAGUAGGCGUCCAUGGCGGCCAGGCAGCCCAGGUACACGUCCGACGUGGAGGCCGCUUUGCGCCUGCGGACCAGCGCCAGGAGGACGAGCAGGUUGGCGGGGACCCCCACCACUAUGUUGACGCACUGCAGGGUCAGGUCGAAGAGCACGGCCUCCACCUGGCGCUCGCAGCCGUCGAACACGCUGAAGGACGCGUUGGUCACCGCGGGGGGCGGGGUGGGGUCCAUGCCGGAGCGCUGGCGGAGUCUGGUGGGGAAGGAAUGAGACGAGCGUCAUGGUUUGUGGAGUCCGCGGAAAUCGAAGGGGGUCUCAAUGUGUCAAAUGGACGUCUGCUCGUUAGAAUCCUCGCUCGGAAGCUGCUGCCAGUUCGUCCUCGGCGGACUUCAAGUCAAAACAUGUGA
rnacentral:lncRNA from 1 species